rnacentral:tRNA from 1 species
GGCGAGAUAGCUCAGUUGGUUAGAGCGCAGGAUUCAUAACCCUGAGGUCACGGGUUCAACUCCCGUUUUCGCUACAA